CCUGUCUUCCUACUUCUUUAUUAUGAUCAUCCAUAAGAAGUUUCUCAGCACGUUGUGCGUUAGUGCUGCCAUUCAAUUUCUCCAGGACUUUGGGAUCAUCCAGAAACUUCUUGGAAAAGUCUGAAGCAUAUUGAAUGUUAUCUCCAAAAACUCUCCAACCUCCACUGAACAAUUGUGGUCGUUUUUCCCGACUACAAUGACAACUCGGCAAGUCUCCUUUCAUACAAUUUUUUGCAAUUACGUGAACAAUGCCAGCAGUAACCAAGGCGUAAUUGAAAGCGGCUUCUUUAGUUGC